AACGAACGCUGGCGGCAGGCUUAACACAUGCAAGUCGAACGCAUCCUUCGGGGUGAGUGGCAGACGGGUGAGUAACGCGUGGGAACGUGCCCUUCAGUUCGGGAUAACCCAGGGAAACUUGGGCUAAUACCGGAUACGUGCGAGAGCAGAAAGAUUUAUCGCUGAAGGAUCGGCCCGCGUCUGAUUAGCUAGUUGGUGGGGUAAUGGCCCACCAAGGCGACGAUCAGUAGCUGGUCUGAGAGGAUGAUCAGCCACAUUGGGCCUGAGACACGGCCCAAACUCCUACGGGAGGCAGCAGUGGGGAAUAUUGGACAAUGGGGGCAAGCCGGAUCCAGCCAUGCCGCGUGGGUGAUGAAGGCCUUAGGGUUGUAAAGCUCUUUCGUCCGGGACGAUAAUGACGGUACCGGAAGAAGAAGCCCCGGCUAACUUCGUGCCAGCAGCCGCCGUAA
rnacentral:rRNA from 1 species